AUUGAACGCUGGCGGCAGGCCUAACACAUGCAAGUCGAGCGGAGCGGCGGACGGGCGAGUAAUGCCUAGGAAUCUGCCUGGUAGUGGGGGAUAACGUCCGGAAACGGGCGCUAAUAUCGCAUACUAUCAGAUGAGCCUAGGUCGGAUUAGCUAGUGGGUGGGGUAAAGGCCUACCAAGGCGACGAUCCGUAACUGGUCUGAGAGGAUGAUCAGUCACACGUGAACUGAGAAACGGUCCAAACUCCUACGGGAGGCGGCAGUGGGGAAUAUUGGACAAUGAGCGAAGGCCUAAUCCAGCCAUGCCGCGGGUGUGAGGAGGGUCUUCGGAUUGAAAAGCACUUUAAGUUGGGAGGCGUUACCAACAGAGUAAGCACCGGCUAACUUCGUGCCAGCAGCCGCGGUAAUUC
rnacentral:rRNA from 1 species